UACGUAGGGGGCUAGCGUUAUCCGGAAUUAUUGGGCGUAAAGCGUCCGCAGGUGGUUUUACAAGUCUGCUGUCAAAGCGUGGAGCUUAACUCCAUAAAGGCAGUGGAAACUGUGAGACUAGAGUUCGGUAGGGGUUACGGGAAUUCCCAGUGUAGCGGUGAAAUGCGUAGAUAUUGGGAAGAACACCAGCGGCGAAAGCGCGUAACUGGGCCUGAACUGACACUGAGGGACGAAAGCUAGGAGAGCGAAAGGG
rnacentral:rRNA from 1 species